AACGCUGCAGGCCUGGCCUCACGUCUGAGCCUCAGGUCAGUCCGGGUGGUCAGCCUCCUGCUGCAGAGCUGGAAACAGCAGCUCAGCCAAUCAGAGCUGGCACUGAUUGCUGCUCAUUGUAACGGACUGAAGUCUCCAAAUGACAAUGACUCUUUUCCAGAGAUGCUAUGUUUUCCUGAUCUCAGUUGUGCUGAAUCAGAGCAGACUCCAGGAGCGAGUGGACACCCAGUGGAGAGCCCACCUGGGCCUGACGGAGGCUCAGAGGCCUGAGUGGAGAGCGCUCUACAAGCCUCCGCUGACUAAGAGGGGUGGGGACCUCCAGUGGAGGGUUCUCCACGCUGCGGUAGCGGUAAAUGCGUUUGUGUCAGUGAUCAACCCUACAGUGUCUGACGCCUGUCCUUUUUGUGAACAGAGGGAAACCAUUUUUCAUUGCUUUACAGAAUGUGGUCGACUCCUUUGUCUUUUUCAGUUACUCGCUCAGAUGUUGAUUUUGUUUAAUGUGGUUUUUUCUAACUCAAUGUUCAUUUUGGGUUGUAGGUACAGCCAGAAGCAAAAGUCAGCUUUUGAAUUUUUUGUUGGGGCAGGCUAAAAUGGCCAUCUACCUCAGCAGGAGGAAUAAAGUUGCGGAGUCACUGGAUACCGAUGCAGUUUUGAUUUUCAAGCGGAUGGUAAAAGCAAGACUAAAAACGGACUACAGUUACUUUUGCUUAACCAAAGAUGUGGGAGAAUUUGAGGCCAUGUGGUGUCUUAAAAAUGCUUUGUGUUCUGUGGUGAAUGAGGAUCUUAUUUUCAGUCGUUUUCUGAACUGACAAUGUGUGUCAUUGUGUCUGUUUGGUUAUUUGCUUUGUGAAUAAAAGUGGUUU